rnacentral:rRNA from 1 species
AUGCCUUACACAUGACAAGUCGAACGGCAGCACGGGAGCAAUCCUGGGUGGCGAGUGGCGAACGGGUGAGUAAUAUAUCGGAACGUGCCCAGUCGGUGGGGGAUAACGUAGCGAAAGCUACGCUAAUACCGCAUACGAUCUAUGGAUGAAAGCGGGGGAUCGCAAGACCUCGCGCGAUUGGAGCGGCCGAUAUCAGAUUAGGUAGUUGGUGAGGUAAAGGCUCACCAAGCCGACGAUCUGUAGCUGGUCUGAGAGGACGACCAGCCACACUGGGACUGAGACACGGCCCAGACUCCUACGGGAGGCAGCAGUGGGGAAUUUUGGACAAUGGGCGCAAGCCUGAUCCAGCAAUGCCGCGUGCAGGAUGAAGGCCUUCGGGUUGUAAACUGCUUUGUACGGAACGAAACGGUGAGCUCUAAUACAGUUUGCUAAUGACGGUACCGUAAGAAUAAGCACCGGCUAACUACGUG